UUCCACUUACUGGUUGUGACACUUUAGGUAACUUAAUCUCUCAGAAGCUCAGUUUUCUUGUUGGGCUAUCUCAAGGAGACACCAAUAUCAAGAUAGAUAAUUGUUAUAAGGAUUGAAUGUGAUAUAUGCAAAAUGGUAAGUAACAUGUUAAAUAAUCAUUAUGUGGUAGCUGUGAUUAUUUUUGUCGUUAUUAUUGGAAUUAAGAAUUUUUAAAUCACAUUGAGUAUUGGAAAUACAGAAAAAAUACUAGCUGUAUUUUUCAGAGAAAAAUUAAUUUAGAGAAUUAGCUAAGUAGGUAUUGGAGGACUUAACCCAUAGGUGUUAUGCCAACUAACAUUAGUUUGGAAGUAAGAUAUUAUAUCAUUAAUUCUGUGAUCAGUCUUUUUACUGUGAAUGUUUUACACUUGGUUUAAUUUUUAUCAGAUCUGUUCUCACUAUUAAAUUUUCUCUAACAUUCUGAACAUAAUAUUGUUUUAAAAAUUGUGAUUUACGAAGAAAAUUUUACUAAUAUUUGCUCAUCAUAAUU
rnacentral:lncRNA from 10 species